UGCGGAAGGAUCAUUACCUAGAGUUGUAGGCUUUGCCUGCUAUCUCUUACCCAUGUCUUUUGAGUACCUUACGUUUCCUCGGUGGGUUCGCCCACCGAUUGGACAAACUUAAACCCUUUGCAGUUGAAAUCAGCGUCUGAAAAAACUUAAUAGUUACAACUUUCAACAACGGAUCUCUUGGUUCUGGCAUCGAUGAAGAACGCAGCGAAAUGCGAUAAGUAGUGUGAAUUGCAGAAUUCAGUGAAUCAUCGAAUCUUUGAACGCACAUUGCGCCCCUUGGUAUUCCAUGGGGCAUGCCUGUUCGAGCGUCAUUUGUACCUUCAAGCUCUGCUUGGUGUUGGGUGUUUGUCUCCUGUAGACUCGCCUCAAAACAAUUGGCAGCCGGCGUAUUGAUUUCGGAGCGCAGUACAUCUCGCGCUUUGCACUCAUAACGACGACGUCCAAAAGUACAUUUUUACACUCUUGACCUCGGAUCAGGUAGGGAUACCCGCUGAACUUAAGCAUAUCAAUA
rnacentral:rRNA from 1 species